UAGAAGUUAGCCCUUUAGUUGAGGAUUCACAUAAGUUGAAGAAGGAAAUAAUAAAAGUGAGUUCUUGUAUAAGACCGUAAGGAAAAGAGAGAAAGAAAGGAGCCUGGACCGGUGUAGGGAAUUUACCCGAUUACGCGCAACCGGCGGAUUUAUUUUAAAUCUAAAAAGGAUACGGUCAGUACCCGUUCCAAGGUUGAGGUUAGCAGUGAGGGACCACCAUCCGAACUCAUCUACUCUUACGAUCCAGUUCAGGGUAGAAGUUUUAUGUAUUACUUCAGUUUCAGUUUUUAUUUACUUUUGACGUUGAACUCUCAGGGUUAUAUUUAGGGAUCCUUGACAUAGGAUUUCCAAGUUGUAACGAAGUACUGUAUUAAAUAAAGGAUGGAUGGAUGUUGUAUUA